rnacentral:rRNA from 1 species
UAGGGAAUCUUCGGCAAUGGACGAAAGUCUGACCGAGCAACGCCGCGUGAGUGAAGAAGGUUUUCGGAUCGUAAAACUCUGUUGGUAGAGAAGAACGUUGGUGAGAGUGGAAAGCUCAUCAAGUGACGGUAACUACCCAGAAAGGGACGGCUAACUACUUGCCAC